GGGUUCGUAGCUCAGCUUGGUAGAGCACUGGCCUUUUAAGCCAGGUGUCCGGGGUCCGAAUCCCCGCGAACUCA
rnacentral:tRNA from 1 species